rnacentral:rRNA from 1 species
UCAGUGGCUCGAGGACGACGCUGGCGGCGUGCCUAACACAUGCAAGUCGAGCGAGGAGAUUCCGUUCGGGAUGAUCCUAGCGGCGGACGGGUGAGUAACACGUGGGCAACCUGCCUCAUAGAGAGGAAUAGCCUUCCGAAAGGGAGAUUAAUACCUCAUAACAUUGCAGUUUCGCAUGGAACAGCAAUUAAAGGAGUAAUCCGCUAUGAGAUGGGCCCGCGGCGCAUUAGCUAGUUGGUGAGGUAACGGCUCACCAAGGCGACGAUGCGUAGCCGACCUGAGAGGGUGAUCGGCCACAGUUGGGACUGAGACACCGGCCCAGACCUCCGUACGGGAGGCAGCAGGUGGGGAAUUAUUGCACAAUGGGGGAAACCCUGAUGCAAGCAACGCCGCGUGAGUGAUGACGGCCUUCGGGUUGUAAAGCUCUGUCUUCAGGGACGAUAAUGACGGUACCUGAGGAGGAAGCCACGGCUAACUACGUGCCAGCAGCCGC